GAUUGUUGUUAGGAAAAAACACGUAAUUUUCUCAUUUACGAUACAUUUUUCUAAAAACCGUAGAGUGGCGCCACUGCAGUAUUUGUUUGGUCGACAUACCACGUUGGUUGUAGUGAAUGCACCUUGCAGUAAGGCGGUAUUUGAGUUAUAUUUUAGAAGUGCCUAGACAAAAUCUGCUCCUUGUCGUGUGCAGUAACCAUCGCAAACCCUCCGGACUUGUGUAACGCCGUUAGUUCGCCGUGUGUUUCGUGCGAUCUACCAGUGUCGACAGUGAGUGUCUUACUACAGCGCCCGUCCGAGCUGCCUUUGUUCUGCCGAGCUGCCUGCCCGCGCUCUCGUGAAAAGUCUGGUACUGGAGCUUCGAAUCGUAGUGUAUGGAAGACUGUUGAAGGUUGUGCUUUUGUGGAGCUGGAGUUCAUCGGAAGUUCUACAGUGCUUGCGCCAGAAAAACGUCGGUGCCUCGGUACCUUUGAGACGAAGGAGCGUUGGCCAAGUCUUUUUGAAAGGCUAUGCGGAUUCUGGAGGCAUCCCUACAUCAAGCAGGAACCUGCUGCACUGCUGGAAGCUGGACAGCACGACAAUAAAGCACGUGAUCUGUGUGCUUUCUCAAAGGUAGACAUCGGCGACGGUGUAUAUGUUGAAAAGUGCCUGCUGAAGAGGCUGCGCC
rnacentral:lncRNA from 1 species